rnacentral:rRNA from 2 species
UGCAAGUCGAGCGGCAAGUUGAGUAGUAAUACUUAACCUAGAGCGGCGCACGGGUGCGUAACGCGUAUGCAACCUACCUUUUACUGGGGGAUAGCCCGGAGAAAUCUGGAUUAAUACCCCAUGGUACCUAGAGGUCGAAUGAUUUUUAGUUUAAAGAUUUAUCGGUAAGAGAUGGGCAUGCGUCUGAUUAGCUAGUUGGCGGGGUAACGGCCCACCAAGGCGACGAUCAGUAGGGGUUCUGAGAGGAAGGUCCCCCACACUGGCACUGAGAUACGGGCCAGACUCC